rnacentral:tRNA from 1 species
GAAAAUAUUUUGAUUUGAGCUGCUAACUUUGAUCUGGGAUAUUAUAUUCCUAUUUUCC